rnacentral:rRNA from 1 species
CGUAGGAUUCAAGCGUUAUCCGGAAUCACUGGGCGUAAAGCGUGCGUAGGCGGGUGUGUAAGUGAGAUGCGAAAUUCAGCGGCUCAACCGUUUGGACUGUAUUUCAUACUGCAUGUCUAGAGGAUGGCAGAGGUCAGUGGAAUUGGUAGUGUAGCAGUGAAAUGCGUAGAUAUUACCAGGAACACCAAUGGCGAAGGCAGCUGACUGGGCCACACCUGACGCUGAGGUACGAAAGCGUGGGGAGCGAACAGGAUUAGAUACCCUGGUAGUCCACGCCGUAACGAUGCAGGCUAUUAGUUCGGAGUAUCGACCCUCUGGGCUGAGAAGCUAACGCGAUAAGCCUGCCGCCUGGGGAGUACGAGCGCAAGCUUA